AAAAUCUCAAAGAUUUUUAAAGAUUGAAAAUCUCAAAGAUUUUCAGUAUAUUUUAAAAUCUGUUGAUUUUAAAAACGCACCUGCGGAUGCUUCUCUAGUCUGUAGCUCUGUAAAUUGUUCAUUAAAUAGAGAGGAAACUCUCAGUGUGUACGAUAUAUUACUGACUGAUAACAUCCCCGAAGAGAACCAACGGUCUGGCAGGACU
rnacentral:sRNA from 1 species